AUUGAACGCUGGCGGCAGGCUUAACACAUGCAAGUCGAGCGGGGGAAGGUAGCUUGCUACCGGACCUAGCGGCGGACGGGUGAGUAAUGCUUAGGAAUCUGCCUAUUAGUGGGGGACAACAUCUCGAAAGGGAUGCUAAUACCGCAUACGUCCUACGGGAGAAAGCAGGGGAUCUUCGGACCUUGCGCUAAUAGAUGAGCCUAAGUCGGAUUAGUUAGUCGGUGGGGUAAAGGCCUACCAAGGCGACGAUCUGUAGCGGGUCUGAGAGGAUGAUCCGCCACACUGGGGCUGAGACACGGCCCAGACUCCUACGGGAGGCAGCAGUGGGGAAUAUUGGACAAUGGGGGGAACCCUGAUCCAGCCAUGCCGCGUGUGUGAAGAAGGCCUUAUGGUUGUAAAGCACUUUAAGCGAGGAGGAGGCUACUUUAGUUAAUACCAAGAGACAGUGGACGUUACUCGCAGAAUAAGCACCGGCUAACUCUGUGCCAGCCGCCGCAGUAA
rnacentral:rRNA from 1 species